rnacentral:rRNA from 1 species
UGGGGAAUAUUGCACAAUGGGCGCAAGCCUGAUGCAGCCAUGCCGCGUGUAUGAAGAAGGCCUUCGGGUUGUAAAGUACUUUCAGCGGGGAGGAAGGGAGUAAAGUUAAUACCUUUGCUCAUUGACGUUACCCGCAGAAGAAGCACCGGCUAACUCCGUGCCAGCAGCCGCGGUAAUACGGAGGGUGCAAGCGUUAAUCGGAAUUACUGGGCGUAAAGCGCACGCAGGCGGUUUGUUAAGUCAGAUGUGAAAUCCCCGGGCUCAACCUGGGAACUGCAUCUGAUACUGGCAAGCUUGAGUCUCGUAGAGGGAGGUAGAAUUCCAGGUGUAGCGGUGAAAUGCGUAGAGAUCUGGAGGAAUACCGGUGGCGAAGGCGGCCCCCUGAACGAAGACUGACGCUAAGGUGCGAAAGCGUGGGGAGCAAACAGG